UACAGAGGGGGCAAGCGUUGUUCGGAAUUACUGGGCGUAAAGAGCGCGUAGGCGGCCUUCUACGUCGAACGUGAAAUCCCUGGGCUCAACCCAGGAACUGCGUCCGAUACUGGAAGGCUUGAAUCCGGGAGAGGGAUGCGGAAUUCCAGGUGUAGCGGUGAAAUGCGUAGAUAUCUGGAGGAACACCGGUGGCGAAGGCGGCAUCCUGGACCGGUAUUGACGCUGAGGCGCGAAAGCCAGGGGAGCAAACGGG
rnacentral:rRNA from 1 species